CAGCAGCCACGGUAAUACGUAGGUCCCGAGCGUUGUCCGGAUUUAUUGGGCGUAAAGCGAGCGCAGGCGGUUAGAUAAGUCUGAAGUUAAAGGCUGUGGCUUAACCAUAGUACGCUUUGGAAGCUGUUUAACUUGAGUGCAAGAGGGGAGAGUGGAAUUCCAUGUGUAGCGGUGAAAUGCGUAGAUAUAUGGAGGAACACCGGUGGCGAAAGCGGCUCUCUGGCUUGUAACUGACGCUGAGGCUCGAAAGCGUGGGGAGCAAACAGGAUUAGAUACCCCCGUAGUCCCUGUCUCUUAUACA
rnacentral:rRNA from 1 species